UCGAAACCGUAAAAUUUGGUU
rnacentral:piRNA from 1 species